rnacentral:rRNA from 1 species
GAAUCUUGCGCAAUGGCCGCAAGGCUGACGCAGCGACGCCGCGUGGGGGAGGAAGGCCCUCGGGUUGUAAACCCCUGUUGCCCGGGACGAACCCCUGGUUUCGACCAGGCUGCCGGUACCGGGUGAGGAAGCACCGGCUAACUCCGUUCCAGCAGCCGCGGUAACACGGAGGGUGCGAGCGUUGUCCGGAAUCACUGGGCGUAAAGGGCGCGUAGGCGGCCUGGUAAGCGGGCGGUGAAAGCCCGGGGCUCAACCCCGGGUCGGCCGUGCGAACUGCUGGGCUCGAGCACUGUAGAGGCGGGUGGAAUUCCGGGUGUAGCGGUGGAAUGCGUAGAGAUCCGGAAGAACACCGGUGGCGAAGGCGGCCCGCUGGGCAGUGGCUGACGCUGAGGCGCGACAGCGUGGGGAGCAAACAG